rnacentral:lncRNA from 10 species
GUCACCUAAUGGCGCCUGGCAAUGGCCGGCGGCCCCGGCCCUUCGCUGUCCCUCGGUCCUCGGGGUGUCAGGGACAGCUCCGCGUCGCCUUGUCUCGCUUCUUCGGGGCCACGGGUCCAGCUAGACACGCUUAGCCUUUAACACUCAAGCCGGAUUCUCAGACCGCUCCUUCGCUCUCGCGACCACGGCUGCCCUCUCCACCCCACCGACUCCCGCCCAUUUCCCGUUCUCAGGAGUUGGCUUGGAGUGCCAGACCCUCGAUCACGGCACCUCUAGGAAAGAGCCUGCCUCUCUUCCUUCCCUUCCCCGGCUACCGAGCGACUUCAAGUUUUCGUGCGCCGGAAUGACGGGCUCAAGCCCCAACCUCCUGCUCCCUCCGCCGCCGCCCCUGCCCCUCUGACUCUGCGCCUCUCCUGCUGCUCGCAAGCCUCUUCCCACUUCCUUGACUUUUAUAAACCUCUCUACUGCCUCCACGCCGACCCUCCAGGAUUACUUUUCUCCAGCACCUCUGGCGGUGGGCAGGGAAGAAGCUUCAUUGGCCAAACUUGUUAAUCCCACUUCAAAAGUUGCUAAACCAUUUGGAGCAAGUACUGAAAAUGUUCAGGGUCUAAAAGAGAGUAACUAUUGUGACAAUAACUUAAAAGAUAAUCUUCAUGUCCCAACCUGUUUUCCUUAUCUCAUCCUUUUGGGCUUUCAAGGUAUUUCUGGUCCCAGUUUACGUUGGCCCCAGGCUAAAAUGUAGUCAGACAGGGCAGCCAUUGUUGACAGCAUCAGCAUCCAGGAUACCUGGGUGCCCUUUGGUGGUGUUAAGCAUUUAACCAACAAGGCAGGGGAUGGCUGUGAAAUAAAAGUGUUUUAUAUUUUUGGAUAGGCAAUCCAAGUAGUAAAUUUAAGGAGGAAGAAUGUGGAAUGUGGAGGGACAAAAUUCCAAACGAAUGGAGGUGUUUUUUUUUUUUUUUUUUGGUGUUUGUUGUUUUGUUUUGUUUACGAUAAUUCCCCUUCAGACCAAGCACAAUUUUAGUACUUGCACAAAUACUGGUGGAAGUGAUAUUAAAAUUUAAGCCAGUAGACAUGAAAUCUUUUUGCAAUUGCAAGGGAAUAUCAUGUACAAAUGUCCCAACCCCAGCCUGAGCUUCUCACCUCAUCCUCCCACCCCAUGAUUACCAGAUCACUACCUCCCGUCCCACUUCCCUGAGGCCAUUGAUAACGUCUGCUAUUUCCUUGCCAACCUCCAAAAUUAGCUAUUUCUCCCUAGCCACAAGCCCCUCGCUUCUACCCCUUCUAACCUCAUCUAUUGGCCCUCUUGGCCACUUAUUUCAAGGUAGCCUUGGUGAUAGGUUAAGAGGAGGACAGGCCGGCCGGGCGCGGUGGCUCACGCCUGUAAUCCCAGCACUUUGGGAGGCCGAGGCGGGCGGAUCAAGAGGUCAGGAGAUCGAGACCAUCCUGGCUAACACGGUGAAACCCCGUCUCUACUAAAAAUACAAAAAAUUAGCUGGGCGUGGUGGCGGGCGCCUGUAGUCCCAGCUACUCGGAGGGUGAGGCAGGAGAAUGGCAUGAACCCGGAAGGCGGAGCUUGCAGUGAGCCGAGAUCGCGCCACUGCACUCCAGCCUGGGCGAAAGAGCGAGACUCCGUCUUAAAAAAAAAAAAAAAAGAGGACGGGCCAUAGGACAAUUGAGGCAG